CUAAGCCCAUUUUACAGAUAAGGAAACUGAAACACUGAGAGGUUGAGUAAGUUGCUUAAGGUUAUAUAACUCCUGAGUAAAAGAGAAAGGAUUUGAAUGAGGCUGUCCUGGUCCAUAUGUAUUUUAUGCUCUAGGCUUUUGGAAACAACCUAGAUAGCUAAGAGAUGCAGACUUUCUAAAUAAAUAAGUACAGACUAUGUAAUAUUUUGCAAGUAUUAACAACCAAAUUCUAAACACUUUUAGUGUUUAGACUUCUGACAUAAUAUAAAAGAGAAAAAAAACCCUAAAAUCACAGACAAAAUCAAAUUGAAAAAUAUACAUAAAAAUAUGAUAGCAAAUACCUCACAAGACUAACACAAUUACAUGAGGUUAGUAGCACAAUAGUUUCUUUUCUCAUUUUCUCAAAAUGUUUAAUAAUGUGUAUUUCUUAUGCUGGGAAAGUAUAUAAUCAUCUACAUACAAAAGAUCAGUAGAAAACAUUGGAGCAGAGUAAGUGCUCAUUAGCCAGACUGCCUGGGUUACCGCUUACCCAGUGUAUGAUCUUGGACAAGUUAUUGGCCUUCUUUUCUAAGUUUCUAACUUUAGCCUGUAAAAUGAAGAUUCUUAUAGUAGCUACCUCAUAAAGUAAGGAGUAAAUCUACUUUAAAAUGUUUAAAACAGUGUUCUAGAACUUAGAGAAUAUGCAAGCAUAAGUUAUUUUGCAGUUAUUGUUGGUUUACAAGAAAACUCAUUGUUUUAGAGCCUCUUUCUGACCAGGCAAAGGUGACAAUUCCCGCAGCUGGUCUUCAGGUAGGCAUAUCCAUUAGGAAUUAAUUUUGUUUCUAUCCUGGAUCUUAAUCCAUCCUUACUGUGAAAUCCCUAACUCAGAGGUUUCUAGGAAUUAAUCUGACGUUGGUUGAGGGAUCACUUCUGACUUUAUCUAAGAAACAGUGACAAAGAUCAAGUAUCUGAUGAGUCUUUUAUUAUUUUCAAAAAUUCUAGCUGGGUUUGAUGCACACUCCUGUAAUCCCAGGAGUUUGGGAAGCUGAAGCAGGAGGAUUGCAAAUUCAAAGUCAGCCUCAGCAACUUAUUGAGGCCCUGUCUUAAAAUAAAAUAUUUUUAAAAAAUGAAAAGAAAAAGAGCUGGGGAUGUGGCUCAAUGGUUUAGCAGUCCAGGCUCUCUGGUUUUGUCUUAGCACAUGUACAAGAGUAAUGAUCAAAACUACCCAUUGAAGUCAAUAAGCAUUAACGUCAUCAAUACUGAAUUAGAAAAAAAUACCUACUUCACCAAUUUCUACCUGUCUGUAGAUGCACAACUUUUAACCAGCUCUCUGAACUGAAAAUCAGAGUAAUAAUAGAAAGCUACUAGAUAGGGC
rnacentral:lncRNA from 1 species